rnacentral:rRNA from 1 species
GACGAACGCUGGCGGCGUGCUUAACACAUGCAAGUCGAACGGAAAGGCCCUGCUUUUGUUGGGUGCUCGAGUGGCGAACGGGUGAGUAACACGCGAGUAACCUGCCCUUGACUUUGGGAUAACUUCAGGAAACUGGGGCUAAUACCGGAUAGAAGCUCCUGCUGCACGGUGGGGGUUGGAAAGUUUCGGCGGUUGGGGAUGGACUCGCGGCUUAUCAGCUUGUUGGUGGGGUAGUGGCUUACCAAGGGUUUGACGGGUAGCCGGCCUGAGAGGGUGACCGGCCACCUUGGGACUGAGAUACGGACCAGACUCCUACGGGAGGCAGCAGUGGGGAAUCUUGCAGAAUGGGCGGAAGCCUGAUGCAGCAACGCCGCGUGCGGGAUGACGGCUUUCGGGUUGUAAACCGCUUUCGCCUGUGACGAAGCGUGAGUGACGGUAAUGGGUCAAGAAGCACCGGCUAACUACGUG